rnacentral:lncRNA from 1 species
AGGCUGUGAGGUAACCUUAUGAUGCAUCUGUGUCUCAUCAAGGACCAGAAAGGAGGAGGCACCAUGAUUAUCACAUGGAUUUUGAACCCUACCCGGAGACUCUGUAAAACCCCAGAAGAGGUUUCUCAGAGCCUUAAUAUAUUAAUGCACACCUUUAAUUUCAAAGAAGUUGGAUGGCCAGUCUUUCUCCAGUUUCUUUGGACAAAAGUGAUUACUUCCUGGAAACAUGCCUGGUGUGCACAUCUGCUUUUCAUCCUCAUCUCCCACCUUCUGCCCAGGUGGAUCUUCCUCCCCAACCAUCAGACAGCACUGGGCUAUUUUCACAUUUGCUGGUCACUUGGAGAAGACUUGGCAAAUCUCAGUGGGAAUUGCCCAGGCAUGUGAACAGUGACUCUUUCAGGAGCAAAUAAAAUGCUUCAGACCAUACUCA